rnacentral:tmRNA from 2 species
GGGGACGACAUGGCUUCGACGGGGGUCGAGGAAGCGAGAGCGGCAUGUCGAGGUUGUCUGGAGCCUCGUUAAAUAUCCGGGCAACAAAUUUAAACGCAGACAACUAUGCGUAUGCUGUUGCUGCCUAAUUAAUUAGGCGGCACGCUCGUCUCCAUCGCGCCACUCGGUUGAGCACGGGCGACACAACAGUGGCUGGCUUGCGGUUGUGUCUGGGUAUCGCAGGCGAGAUGCUACAGGCUGGCGCGUGACGACCCUUGUCCGUUGAGGUCGCACGCGUGAGAACGAUCAACCGACUAAACAUGUAGAAGUUCUCGUUGACUGGCCUUCGGACGCGGGUUCGAUUCCCGCCGUCUCCACUC